rnacentral:rRNA from 1 species
UACAGAGGUCUCAAGCGUUGUUCGGAUUCAUUGGGCGUAAAGGGCGCGUAGGCUGCGGGGCAAGUCGGGUGUGAAAUCUCAGAGCUCAACUCUGAAACUGCACUCGAUACUGCUUUGCUUGAGGACUGGAGAGGAGAUUGGAAUUCACGGUGUAGCAGUGAAAUGCGUAGAUAUCGUGAGGAAGACCAGUGGCGAAGGCGGAUCUCUGGGCCGAAACUGACGCUGAGGAGCGAAAGCGUGGGUAGCAAACAGG